GGCCACUUGACCAAGGAGCCGAAGCCACUCUGGCUGGUCUUGCUGCAUCCAUGUCAUGCUUGGGGACACAUGAAGGAUAUGACACCCCCCCACACUUGUCAGCUUCUGAUCACACACCGAGCUGGAUGGUGAAGACAGCUGUCCAGCACACUGGAGGGGUGGUGUGUUCCAGCCUGCGUAUGUUGGGCAGCCACCUGGAGAACCUGUUUGUUCACUCUCAGGAGGGAGCCAGAAAGAGCCGGUACAAGACUGCCCCCUCCUCUGCCAUACUGGCUCCCUGCUGCAGAGACCAGGAAGGCCCCACCCUCUGCAGGUGAGCUCAGAAAACCACAGCACCAGUGGUGAUGCCAUGUAUGAAGCUGAAUCACUGAAGUUCCACCAGCUGUCAGGCUGCACUGCUCCUGCUGCAGCUCAGAAAUUUUACAUUCGAUGCAAG
ensembl:lncRNA